UACGAAGGGGGCUAGCGUUGCUCGGAAUCACUGGGCGUAAAGCGCACGUAGGCGGACUCUUAAGUCGGGGGUGAAAGCCCGGGGCCCAACCCCGGAACUGCCUUCGAUACUGGGAGUCUUGAGUAUGGUAGAGGUUGGUGGAACUGCGAGUGUAGAGGUGAAAUUCGUAGAUAUUCGCAAGAACACCAGUGGCGAAGGCGGCCAACUGGACCAUUACUGACGCUGAGGUGCGAAAGCGUGGGGAGCAAACAGG
rnacentral:rRNA from 1 species